AUUCUGCCCAUGCGGGAAGGAUGAGAAGCCUCGACCAAGGUUCGACUCGAGCGCCAGCGAGAGAGCGUUGCCGCAGGCAACGACCCGAAGGGCGAAGCGCGCAGCGUUGAGUAAUCCUUCCCCACCACCA
rnacentral:sRNA from 1 species